GACGAACGCUGGCUGCGUGCUUAACACAUGCAAGUCGAACGGAAAGGCCCUGCUUUUGUGGGGUGCUCGAGUGGCGAACGGGUGAGUAACACGUGAGUAACCUGCCCUUGACUUUGGGAUAACUUCAGGAAACUGGGGCUAAUACCGGAUAGGAGCUCCUGCUGCAUGGUGGGGGUUGGAAAGUUUCGGCGGUUGGGGAUGGACUCGCGGCUUAUCAGCUUGUUGGUGGGGUAGUGGCUUACCAAGGCUUUGACGGGUAGCCGGCCUGAGAGGGUGACCGGCCACAUUGGGACUGAGAUACGGCCCAGACUCCUACGGGAGGCAGCAGUGGGGAAUAUUGCACAAUGGGCGGAAGCCUGAUGCAGCAACGCCGCGUGCGGGAUGACGGCCUUCGGGUUGUAAACCGCUUUCGCCUGUGACGAAGCGUGAGUGACGGUAAUGGGUAAAGAAGCACCGGCUAACUACGUGCCGGCAGCCGCGGUGAUACGUAGGGUGCGAGCGUUGUCCGGAUUUAUUGGGCGUAAAGGGCUCGUAGGUGGUUGAUCGCGUCGGAAGUGUAAUCUUGGGGCUUAACCCUGAGCGUGCUUUCGAUACGGGUUGACUUGAGGAAGGUAGGGGAGAAUGGAAUUCCUGGUGGAGCGGUGGAAUGCGCAGAUAUCAGGAGGAACACCAGUGGCGAAGGCGGUUCUCUGGGCCUUUCCUGACGCUGAGGAGCGAAAGCGUGGGGAGCGAACAGGCUUAGAUACCCUGGUAGUCCACGCUGUAAACGGUGGGUACUAGGUGUGGGGUCCAUUCCACGGGUUCCGUGCCGUAGCUAACGCUUUAAGUACCCCGCCUGGGGAGUACGGCCGCAAGGCUAAAACUCAAAGGAAUUGACGGGGCCCCGCACAAGCGGCGGAGCAUGCGGAUUAAUUCGAUGCAACGCGUAGAACCUUACCUGGGUUUGACAUGGAUCGGGAGCGCUCAGAGAUGGGUGUGCCUCUUUUGGAGUCGGUUCACAGGUGGUGCAUGGCUGUCGUCAGCUCGUGUCGUGAGAUGUUGGGUUAAGUCCCGCAACGAGCGCAACCCUUGUUCACUGUUGCCAGCACGUUAUGGUGGGGACUCAGUGGAGACCGCCGGGGUCAACUCGGAGGAAGGUGGGGAUGACGUCAAGUCAUCAUGCCCCUUAUGUCCAGGGCUUCACGCAUGCUACAAUGGCUGGUACAGAGAGUGGCGAGCCUGUGAGGGUGAGCGAAUCUCGGAAAGCCGGUCUCAGUUCGGAUUGGGGUCUGCAACUCGACCUCAUGAAGUCGGAGUCGCUAGUAAUCGCAGAUCAGCAACGCUGCGGUGAAUACGUUCCCGGGGCU
rnacentral:rRNA from 1 species